rnacentral:rRNA from 1 species
AUUGAACGCUGGCGGCAGGCCUAACACAUGCAAGUCGAACGAGUGGCGGACGGGUGAGUAAUGUCUGGGAAACUGCCUGCUGGCGGUGGAUAACUACUGGAAACGGUAGCUAAUACCGCAUACCAUCAGAUGUGCCCAGAUGGGAUUAGCUUGUUGGUGGGGUAACGGCUCACCAGGGCGACGAUCCCUCGCUGGUAUGAGAGGAUGACCAGCCACACUGGAACUGAGGCACGGUCCAGACUCCGACGGGAGGCAGCAGUGGGGAAUAGUGCACAAUGGGCGCAAGCCGGAUGCAGCCAUGCCGCGUGUAUGAAGAGGGCCUGCGGGUGGUAAAGUACUUACAGCGGGGAGGCGUUACCCGCAGAAGAAGCACCGGCUAACUCCGUGCCAGCAGCCGCGGUAAUUC